UAAUUUGAAUUUAGCAAUGUAAAAUAAUACAAUAUAGAUAACAGAACCACAUAUUAAAAUGAAUCAAUAGUUAUAUUUGAUUGCAUCUAGAUUUGUUUUUCAUUUUAAGUAUAACGUAAGUGAAUAGACGAUGUACACUUUUAAAAACUCUUUCUCUUGUUUAACACAUAUGCUCAUCUUAACCAAUAAAAAAUAAAAAGCUACCUUGUGUAUAUCGACUUAUAGUGUCUACUUCGAAGGAGCAGCU
rnacentral:lncRNA from 1 species